AGCGAGACUGCCGGUAAUAAACCGGAGGAAGGUGGGGAUGACGUCAAAUCAUCCAUGCCCCUUAUGACCUGGGCUACACACGUGCUACAAUGGUUGGUACAACGAGUUGCGAGUCGGUGACGGCGAGCUAAUCUCUUAAAGCCAAUCUCAGUUCGGAUUGAGGCUGCAACUCGCCUACAUGAAGUCGGAAUCGCUAGUAAUCGCGGAUCAGCACGCCGCGGUGAAUACGUUCCCGGGCCUU
rnacentral:rRNA from 1 species